AUUGAACGCUAGCGGGAUGCCUUACACAUGCAAGUCGAGCGGAGUGGCCAACGGGCGGGUAAUGUAUCGGAACGUGCCCAGUAGCGGGGGAUAACUACGUGAAAGAGAAGCUAACAACGCCUACAAUUGGAGCGGCAGGUACAGGAUUAGCUAGUUGGUGGGGUAACGGCUCACUCAGGCGACGAUCCGUAGCUGGUUUGAGAGGACGACCAGCCACACUGGAACUGAGACACGGUCCAGACUCCUACGGGAGGCAGCAGUGGGGAAUUUUGCACAAUGGGGGCAACCCUGAUACAGCCAUCCCGCGUGUGUGAAGAAGGCCUUCGGGUUGUAAAGCACUUUUAGCGGGAAGGCGUUACCUGCAGAAGAAGCACCGGCUAACUCCGUGCCAGCAGCCGCGGUAAUUC
rnacentral:rRNA from 1 species